rnacentral:rRNA from 1 species
GAUGAACGCUGGCGGCGUGCCUAAUACAUGCAAGUAGAACGCUGAAGGAAGGAGCUUGCUCUUUCCGGAUGAGUUGCGAACGGGUGAGUAACGCGUAGGUAACCUGCCUGGUAGCGGGGGAUAACUAUUGGAAACGAUAGCUAAUACCGCAUAACAGUAGAUGUUGCAUGAUAUCUACUUAAAAGGUGCAAUUGCACCACUACCAGAUGGACCUGCGUUGUAUUAGCUAGUUGGUGAGGUAAUGGCUCACCAAGGCGACGAUACAUAGCCGACCUGAGAGGGUGAUCGGCCACACUGGGACUGAGACACGGCCCAGACUCCUACGGGAGGCAGCAGUAGGGAAUCUUCGGCAAUGGACGGAAGUCUGACCGAGCAACGCCGCGUGAGUGAAGAAGGUUUUCGGAUCGUAAAGCUCUGUUGUAAGAGAAGAACGAGUGUGAGAGUGGAAAGUUCACACUGUGACGGUAUCUUACCAGAAAGGGACGGCUAACUACGU